rnacentral:rRNA from 1 species
UACAGAGGUCCCGAGCGUUGUUCGGAUUCACUGGGCGUAAAGGGUGCGUAGGUGGCGAUGAAAGUUCGAUGUGAAAUCUCCGGGCUUAACCCGGAAAAGGCAUUGAAAACUAUGUUGCUUGAGGUUUGGAGGGGGGACUGGAAUUCUUGGUGUAGCAGUGAAAUGCGUAGAUAUCAAGAGGAACACCAGUGGCGAAGGCGGGUCCCUGGACAACUCCGUGACACUCGAGGCACGAAAGCUAGGG